rnacentral:tRNA from 2 species
UAAGAUUUUAAGUUAACAAAACUGUAUGCCUUCAAAGCAUAAUAUAAUUUCAAUUAAAUCUUAG